CCUAUUCAUUACCUUUAGCACGGAAAAUAAAUCAAACAAAACAACAUGUGGUGAAGCGUAGGCAUGGUUAUAACUAUCCUCUAACAAAUGAGAUUUUUUACCCAAUGCUACACAAGCGUUAUGUAAUAUGUAUGGAUCUGGUGAAAAGUUUGGAUUCU